GAUGAACGCUGGCGUCGUGCCUAAUACAUGCAAGUCGAGCGAACAGAUGAGGAGCUUGCUCCUCUGACGUUAGCGGCGGACGGGUGAGUAACACGUGGAUAACCUACCUAUAAGACUGGGAUAACUUCGGGAAACCGGAGCUAAUACCGGAUAAUAUAUUGAACCGCAUGGUUCAAUAGUGAAAGACGGUUUUGCUGUCACUUAUAGAUGGAUCCGCGCCGCAUUAGCUAGCUGGUAAGGUAACGGCUUACCAAGGCAACGAUGCGUAGCCGACCUGAGAGGGUGAUCGGCCACACUGGAACUGAGACACGGUCCAGACUCCUACGGGAGGCAGCAGUAGGGAAUCUUCCGCAAUGGGCGAAAGCCUGACGGAGCAACGCCGCGUGAGUGAUGAAGGUCUUCGGAUCGUAAAACUCUGUUAUUAGGGAAGAACAAAUGUGUAAGUAACUAUGCACGUCUUGACGGUACCUAAUCAGAAAGCCACGGCUAACUACGUG
rnacentral:rRNA from 1 species